rnacentral:rRNA from 1 species
UACGAAGGUGGCAAGCGUUGUUCGGAUUUACUGGGCGUACAGGGAGCGUAGGCGGUUUGUUAAGACAGGUGUGAAAUCCCCGGGCUUAACCUGGGAACUGCGCUUGUUACUGGCAGACUUGAGUGUGGCAGAGGGGGGUGGAAUUCCAGGUGUAGCAGUGAAAUGCGUAGAUAUCUGGAGGAACACCGAUGGCGAAGGCAGCCCCCUGGGCUAACACUGACGCUGAUGCACGAAAGCGUGGGGAGCAAACAGG